rnacentral:rRNA from 1 species
AUACGGAGGAUCCGAGCGUUAUCCGGAUUUAUUGGGUUUAAAGGGUGCGCAGGCGGCCAUUUAAGUCAGCGGUUAAAUCGUGGGGCUCAACCCCAUUCUGCCGUUGAUACUGGGUGGCUUGAUUGCGGUCGAGGUUGGCGGAAUUCGUUGUGUAGCGGUGAAAUGCAUAGAUAUGACGAAGAACACCGAUUGCGUAGGCAGCUGACCAGACCGCAAAUGACGCUCAUGCACGAAAGUGCUGGGAUCGAACAGGAUUAUAUACCCUGGUAGUCCGCACAGUAAACGAUGAAUACUUGUUUUCGGCGAUAUAAUGUCGGAGGCAAAGCGAAAGCGAUAAGUAUUCCACCUGGGGAGUACGCCGGCAACGGUGAAACUCAAAUGAAUUGACGGGG